rnacentral:lncRNA from 1 species
AAUUAUUAUUAGAAAAUAUUUUAAAGUAGUUAACUUUGCCUGAUUAUUUAUUUCGAAUUAUUCAUUUUGUGGGGUAAAAUUUCAAUAGGGAGUUUCUCGAUAUCUCAUUGGAGGGUUUUCGAUAUGUUAUUAUCUGUUAAUGGAUGAAUCAUUUAUUAAUUCUUAGAAAAAGAUAAAAAAUGACGUAGUGAUAAAUUUAGACUUUCUGA